UACGAAGGGGGCGAGCGUUGUUCGGAUUUACUGGGCGUAAAGGGCGCGUAGGCGGCGGGUCAAGUCGAGUGUGAAAGCCCCGGGCUCAACCUGGGAGGUGCGCUCGAGACUGGUCUGCUAGAGUUCGGGAGAGGAGCGUGGAAUUCCCAGUGUAGAGGUGAAAUUCGUAGAUAUUGGGAAGAACACCGGUGGCGAAGGCGGCGCUCUGGACCGAGACUGACGCUGAGGCGCGAAAGCGUGGGGAGCGAACAGG
rnacentral:rRNA from 1 species